rnacentral:tRNA from 1 species
GCCCUGCUGGCACAAUUGGUUAGCGCGUGGGCCUUUUAAGCCCAAGGUUCAGGGUUCGAGACCCUGGUGGGGCG